rnacentral:rRNA from 1 species
UCAUCCUAACUGACUUAAAUACCCUAAAGGCACCCAGAUCCCAUCUGAUCUUGGAAGCUAAGAUGGGUCAGCCCUGGGUAGGAUUUGGAUGAGAAAUGAUCAAUGAACACCAGGUUUUGCAAGCU